AUUGAACGCUGGCGGCAGGCUUAACACAUGCAAGUCGAGCGGAGAGAGGUAGCUUGCUACUGAUCUUAGCGGCGGACGGGUGAGUAAUGCUUGGGAAUCUGCCUAUUGGUGGGGGACAACAUUUCGAAAGGAAUGCUAAUACCGCAUACGUCCUACGGGAGAAAGCAGGGGAUCUUCGGACCUUGCGCUAAUAGAUGAGCCUAAGUCGGAUUAGCUAGUUGGUGGGGUAAAGGCCUACCAAGGCGACGAUCUGUAGCGGGUCUGAGAGGAUGAUCCGCCACACUGGGACUGAGACACGGCCCAGACUCCUACGGGAGGCAGCAGUGGGGAAUAUUGGACAAUGGGCGCAAGCCUGAUCCAGCCAUGCCGCGUGUGUGAAGAAGGCCUUAUGGUUGUAAAGCACUUUAAGCGAGGAGGAGGCUACUUUAGUUAAUACCUAGAGAUAGUGGACGUUACUCGCAGAAUAAGCACCGGCUAACUCUGUGCCAGCCGCCGCCGUAAUAC
rnacentral:rRNA from 1 species